rnacentral:lncRNA from 1 species
CAGAGAGCUGAGCUUGUGGAGUCAGAAAGUCUCCAACAGAGUUUAGCAGUCACCUGGUUCAGUAGGCUCAUGGGUUCCCCAUCAAUCUUCUGGGGAGCCUUUCAAAAUAAGGACUCUGGGUUUCACUCAGAAAUUUGGGUUCAGUGUUAAAAGCUCCCAGGUGAUUUCCACAGACUGCUGUGUGGUAUCCACUUUAGAGCAAACUUUCCUUUUACAGACAAAGGAACUGGGUCAGUAGAGUUGACUUUUUCACAUGCUGGGUACUCUAAAUGAGAUGCCUCUGUUCAAGCGUCUCCCUUUGGAAAUUGCAUGACUGGGGUCAAGGGUGUAGCUUAGUGGUAGAGCAUGUGCUUAGCAUGCUGAGGCCCUGGGCUUGAUCCCCAGCACAACACAAAAAAAUUUCCAUGCUCAAAACAUGGUGUGACCCCUUUUUUACACUGUUUUCAGGACACAUGGGAUUCUUUUAACUAUUCUUUAAAAAAAUAGGUUAACAGCACACUUCUGAGAGGAGAAAAGAGUGAUAAAAUAAUUUGUUAUAUGUUUCUGAAAUAUCUGUUGACCAAAAAAGGUUUUAUUAUAUUGGUGGAGUACUAAAAGCUAUUAUUCUUUUAAAAUAUUUCUAAAAAUUAUUUCUAAUAAACUCAACACGUAUCCUUGUAUAUUGG